UGAGUAACACGUAUCCAACCUGCCGUCUACUCUUGGGCAGCCUUCUGAAAGGAAGAUUAAUCCAGGAUGGCAUCAUGAGUUCACAUGUCCGCAUGAUUAAAGGUAUUUUCCGGUAGACGAUGGGGAUGCGUUCCAUUAGAUAGUAGGCGGGGUAACGGCCCACCUAGUCAACGAUGGAUAGGGGUUCUGAGAGGAAGGUCCCCCACAUUGGAACUGAGACACGGUCCAA
rnacentral:rRNA from 1 species